rnacentral:rRNA from 2 species
UGGGGAAUAUUGCACAAUGGGCGAAAGCCUGAUGCAGCAACGCCGCGUGAGCGAUGAAGGCCUUCGGGUCGUAAAGCUCUGUCCUCAAGGAAGAUAAUGACGGUACUUGAGGAGGAAGCCCCGGCUAACUACGUGCCAGCAGCCGCGGUAAUACGUAGGGGGCUAGCGUUAUCCGGAAUUACUGGGCGUAAAGGGUGCGUAGGUGGUUUUUUAAGUCAGAAGUGAAAGGCUACGGCUCAACCGUAGUAAGCUUUUGAAACUAGAGAACUUGAGUGCAGGAGAGGAGAGUAGAAUUCCUAGUGUAGCGGUGAAAUGCGUAGAUAUUAGGAGGAAUACCAGUAGCGAAGGCGGCUCUCUGGACUGUAACUGACACUGAGGCACGAAAGCGUGGGGAGCAAACAGG